rnacentral:rRNA from 1 species
UACGGAGGGUGCGAGCGUUAAUCGGAAUUACUGGGCGUAAAGGGUGCGUAGGUGGUUUGAUAAGUUAUCUGUGAAAUUCCUGGGCUUAACCUGGGACGGUCAGAUAAUACUGUUGGACUCGAGUAUGGGAGAGGGUAGUGGAAUUUCCGGUGUAGCGGUGAAAUGCGUAGAGAUCGGAAGGAACACCAGUGGCGAAGGCGGCUACCUGGCCUAAUACUGACACUGAGGCACGAAAGCGUGGGGAGCAAAC